rnacentral:misc_RNA from 1 species
AACGCAUCUUGCGCUCCUUGGUAUUCCGAGGAGCAUGCCUGUUUGAGUGUCGUGAAAUCUCUCAACCUCAGUCUUUUAAUCGGGACGAAGGGUUGGAUUUGGACGCUGCAGUCUUUUUCGAAGGUCUGCUCGUCUUGAAAUGCAUUAGCGUUCCGCCGCGGGUUCGGUUUCGUAACGACGGUGUGAUAAGUAACACUUUGACGCCGUCUUGGACCGAGUCUCGGAGGAUGCUUCUAAUCGUCUUCGUGACAACUUCAUGUCUCUGACCUCAAAUCAGGUAGGACUACCCGCUGAACUUAA